GCCGUAUUUAUUAGAUAACAGACCAAUAUUCCUCGUGUCUAUUGUGGUGAAUCAUAGUAACUAAUCGGAUCGCGGGCUCGCCCGCGACAAACCAUUCAAGUUUCUGCCCCAUCAGCUUUCGAUGGUAGUGUAUUGGACUACCAUGGCUUUUACGGGUAACGGAGGAUUAGGGUUCGAUUCCGGAGAGGGAGCCUGAGAAACGGCUACCACAUCUAAGGGAGGCAGCAGGCGCGUAAAUUACCCAAUACUAAUUCAGUGAGGUAGUG
rnacentral:rRNA from 1 species